UCGGGGCAGUGGGAGCCUGCCAGGCCCGCCGGGUCCUGGAACCCAGGGGUGGGGGCAGGCCUUCCUGCCACUUGGCAGAGGGCGGUUGUUUCACUUUACGAGGGGACUCUGUAAAGAGUCCAGGCGACUAUUUUUAAUCGGGUUCAUUUUUCACCUGCUUGGAAAGUGGAACAUCUCCUGGGAGGUGACAAGUCGUGAUCAAAGGCAAGUCUCCAGGCAGAGAGAGAGCUGGCAGGCUUCCGAGCCCAGUAGCUCCAGGGACAGAACAUGCAGCAAGGAUCCUCUUGUUUGACUUGGCCCAGCAGCGCCAACACGGGUCACCGUCCCUGAGGAUGGAUCUCACCCAGUCCUGGCCUCACUGCUGGGCAGCCCUGAAGGGGCUGAGGGCCAGUGGACUAGGCUCAGAGAUUGUACCUGCAAAUACAAAAGUGAAACGAGGGCCAAAAGACUCUGGAAGAUAAAUGGGGGCCCUGGGGGAAACUUACACCAAAAACUAAACCAAUCUGCAGUAGCCUGACUCCCUGAAUGACCAAGGGAAAAAAAAUCAGUCAUGUUUUCCCUAUCAUGUGUUGUACAAACCCCUGUAGAUUGUAUGCACACUAUUCUAUAUAACAGGAAAACAUACCGUUGCCUUUCUCAGGCCCACACUUUACUUCUCACAGUAAAUAGAAAAAUGGGAUGACUGCCCUUCGAGAGGCAGCAGAGCCAGUGGUUCUCAAGUGCACUCAGCUUUCUUUCUGGGACUGAGCCCUCACUCCUCUGGGCAAGUUUCUUCCUCAUCAGAAGGGGCUGAUAACAGCGCCUGCCACAUGGGACACCAGGUAGCAUUUCUUCUUCUCCCCUUAUACAUGAAUCUGGAUGUGAACUGAAAGACAAGAAAUAUAAAGCAGGGUCCCUGCUCUUCAGCAGCUUCCAAGCCCGUGAAUCUCACAAAUGAAAGAAGAGACUACAAGCAAAUUCUUGACAGCAUCUCCCAUGUCCUCACACAGUUUCUCCCACUAUCUCUUUAUUGUAUGUUCAUGGAAAACGUGUGUGGGGAAGGCAAGGACUCCGGAAGCCAGAGUCCUGGCCCUGCAGCAGCUUAUCAAUCACCAUUCAUCUUGGAAGCUCACAGCCCCCCAUGCCCAUUUGCUGAAGGGGAGUGACUCACCGUGACACCAACAGCAAUGCUGACAGUUAAUUGAAUUCCGGAGCUAACGUUUCUUCCUACCUAUAGCAAUUCUUCACAGCUCCCAGCUCAAGAUUGCUCUAAGCAAGCUGCUGUGUUUAUGAGAGAGAGAGAGAUAGAGAGGGUGGGAGAGAGAGGGAGAGAGAGAGAGAAACAGAGGAAAAGAGAGGGCAUCUUUCUCAAGUGAUUGAAAGAUCAGCAUUUGUAUGUAAGAUUUCACUUUGCUUUGACUUUCAGGCUUAGAACUUAUGCAAACUUGGUCCAGAAGCAAAUGGACCAGACAGUUUUUAUGGCUGAAUAUUGCAGUUAGCAUCAUCCUGUGAGGCACAGGGCAAUGACAGACCAGCCUUAACCGGCAAGCAGCUGGCCCCUGUUUUGACAGUCUUUUAUCUUCCCAGCAAUGACCAAGGGCGGUUGUUAUUUGCUGACUGCCUGGCUGCUGGUUAGGAGUAUAGAAACUAAUACAUGUGUAGAGAAUUUUUUUGAGCAAAGAUUUAUUUCUAGAGGCCCUUCACAACAUGUGUAUAUUUCAAGAGGAGAGUGACUAUGCAAGGUGAGGAAGACCAAUAUUUCUAUUUGGAGCAUUGAGUGUUAGGAAGUGGGCUUGAUUGGUCUGAUGCAAGUCAGGUUGCUCUGGAUUAUGGUGGAAGCAGGUACUUCCAUAAAUAACUAAAUAAAUAACUAAAUAAAUAAAUGUCACAAUAGAUGAUUCAUUCAAACUGUUUAGCAAACCGCCUCAGAGAUCAUGUGCACACAAAAGCAGAUAAAGUUUUUGGGAGAUUACAAACGAGGCAGUAGGGUCUGAGAAAGGGACCCCCGCCCCCAUAUGGGA